GUUACAGGUUACACCGUUGUGAUGUGUUCAGGUUACAGGUUACAACCGUUGUAUGAUGUUUCAGGGUUACAGGUUACACCGUUGUGAUGUUUCAGGGUUACAGGUUACACGUUGUGAUGUUUCAGGGUUACAGGAUACACCGUUGUGAUGUUUCAGGGUUACAGGUUCCAUCAUCCUUUUAGUGGUACAGGUUACACGGUUUCCGCAAUAAAGCUGACACGGUUAUUUUCAAUUCGAUUUUAUUUGUCUAGCGCUUUUUACAAUAGACAUUGACACGUGGGCCUAAUAAAAGUAUUUCUGUCUUAUCAGAAUUAAGUAGAAGGAAGUUAAUAAUCAUCCAGCGUCUAAUGUCCUUUACACAAUCCUCAACUUUACUAAGCUUCUGUCUGUCCUCUGGCUUCGCUGAAACAUACAGCUGUGUAUCAUCAGCAGAACAGUGGAAGCUAAUUCCAUGUUUACGAAUAAUUUGACCUAGGGGUAGCAUAUAUAAAGUAAAGAGCAAUGGGCCUAAAACAGAACCCUGUGGAACUCCAAAAGUAACCUCAGUACGCGUGGAGAAUUCUCCAUUUACAUCUACGAACUGAUAACGAUCGGUCAGAUAAGACCUGAGCCAGGAGAGGACUGUUCCCUUAAUACCAACAACAUUUUCUAAUCUAUCAAGGAGAAUAGUGUGAUCUAUAGUAUCAAAAGCUGCAGUAAGGUCGAGUAACACAAGCAGCGAGACACAACCCUGAUCGUAAGUCAGUAGUAGGUCAUUUACUACUUUAACCAGCGCUGUCUCUGUGCUAUGAUGAGGUCUAAACCCUGAUUUCCUUAUUUCAAAAGGUAUCUUAGGUUUUGGUAUUUUAGUUCACGUUGUUAAAUCGUUAGAUUACAGGUGCAGCAGUUCGCCGCAGAUUACACGGAUACACCGUGUGUGUUGUUGUUGUUUGUUUUUCGGUACUGUUCGGUCGCGAAUAGUUUUUCUCGAUUUCCGUCGACUAGUUAGUGAGAAGCGUUUUCUCCCGCACACGCGAUGCACGUUUAUUAUGUUUGUGGCAACACCGUCGAUGAACAAAUAACGCACGCAGCGUCGCUGUUGAGUAACGGUUGUAGCCGAGAUCCGUUACGGUGUCGCCAUCCUUACACAACAUUUUUCAGUGGAAAUAUUCUGUAUAAACUGUGUGCAGAUUUGUUUGUAAUCUCGCGCUCUCUCGCUCGCUCUCUCUCUAUCAUCUGUACCUGGCAGCGCCUGGGCCGGAAUGAAAGGAGUCCUCUGUGAGAGUGUGUGGGAGCGAGGGAAAGUGUGUGUGUGUGUGUGGUGGACACACGGAAUGAAUAAGCCUGCUGCUCUUUGUGUCUUGUCUUUUUUCCGUUUCCUCUCUCUCCCGUGCUCUUCGGUGAAGAUAGUUGCUGUUUGUUGGUCCUCCUCGCGCGUAGACCACGCUCCUGUACGAUAUGUAACCUUAAUGAACGCAUAAUGAGUGUAAGGAUAAUGAGGUUAGGUUUCAUGCUGCUUUUGUGACCGAGUUUGCCGUGCAGUGUAUAAUCUGCAUCGUCACGGUAACGUUUCCGUUUUAUUAUAACGUGGGCGGGAGUCUGCAGGCAGACGGCGGUAUCAGGAUACGAGUUUGGAUUGAUUUCAGAUUUAUUCUCUCUCUCUCUCCUGUCGAUCACAGAGACACUAGCCAAUCACGUGCGUCUGUUGGAGUCGUGUAUGCGGAACAGGGCGGAUAGCGCUUUCCUCCGAGUGCGUCACGUCGCAGGCACGGGACAAAAAAAUAAUACCACUGCGAGAUGGGGGAAAGGGGCGGAGCUUCCAGAGUGUGUCCAUUCAUAUCGGAGAGUUCAGAACACCUGUGCAGCUGCUGAUUAUUUAUUUAUUUAUUUAAAAUAAAAUAAGGCGGCUCUUAUAGUGUGUGUUGGAGAAUAUUCCAGUGUAACGUGGAAAUAUUUAAACAUUGUCAGGUUUGGUGCGGUCAUGUUUGUAUUUUCCAUUUUAACCCUCCCAUACUGUUAUUUCCUGGGUUUGGACCUGUGUGUGUGUGUGUGUGUGUGUGUGUGUGUGUGUGUGUGUGUGUGUUCGUUCAGUCCCCUGUAUAAACCUGGUUCGCCCACACCGUCAGGUCCGCGUGUGUGUCGGUGAACUCUGGUUAACUCGGCGUGUGUAAUGUGACUUUAGCUCUGUUAGCAUUGUUAGCGCUGCUAGCCUGCAGCAGCGUGUGUGUUUGUGUGUAAAUCGAGCUCCUCAGCAGACGUGGACGUUAAUCAGCGUUUACCGUUUUACUGAUCAUGAGCAAGGUUACACUUUACACUCCUCCUGAGUGCUUUACUGGUGCACUACACACACACACACACACACACACACACACACACACACACACACACACACACAAUACUGGUCAUCACUAAAUGCUUCAUCUCUCUGUCGCUCAUUCUUUGUGUCUCUGUCUCUUCCGCUUCUCCAUCAGUCUCCCUCUGCUUUUUUCAUCUGUGUGUGUGUGUGUGUCAGCACCAUCUGAUGAUAUAGUGGUUAUUAACUGCAGCUGUGUGUGUGCGUGCGUGUGUGUGCGUGUGUGUGCGCGUGUGUGUGAGUGAGAGAGAGAGAGAGAGCUUUGAUGUUUUCCCCCACAUGUGAUCAGGCCUGAUUUCCUGUGUUUAUAUUUUUCUUCACUAUCACUCAACAUUGUCAUUUCCUGAGAAAGGUGUGUGUGUGUGUGUGUGUGUGCGUACACUUCAUAAAGAAAGAGAGAGAGAGUGAUUGCUACUUCCUGCCUCCAUCUUGCUUCCUGUUAUAGCUUCCUGUUCCUGGAUGAAAAGCACACAAACACCCUCAGAGCACCACACGCACACACACACGCGUUCUGUCAGGGCCAUCUGUGCUUAUUAAAUAUCCCCGUGUAUUGGGCUGUCUGUCUUCUUAAAAUCUCACACACACACUUGUUGAAGUACAUUUAUUUCACUUGAAUUAUUGCUGUGGCUAUCAGAGCCACUGAGACAGACAGACAGGCUUGGUGUAAGGCAGACAGACAGAUUUUGUGUAAGGCAGACAGACAGAUUUUGUUACAGACAGACAGACAGAUUUUGUGUAAGGCAGACAGACAGACAGAUUUUGUGUAAGGCAGACAGACAGACAGACAGAUUUGUGUAAGGCAGACAGACAGAUAGAUUUUGUGUAAGGCAGACCGACAGAUAGAUUUUGUGUAAGGCAGACAGACAGAUAGAUUUUGUGUAAGGCAGACAGACAGGCAGGCUUGGUGUGGUUAUUAUGGAAUAGAACCUAGACAUGGUGUGUAAUAGAGUGCUCUGUGUGUGUGUGUGUGUGUGUGUGUGUGUGUGUGUGUGUGUGUGUGUGUGUGUGUUGUGUAGUUUCUGAUCUUGUUUUUCUACUCUGUGAUGAAACGUCAUCAUGACUCUGCAUUAAUGAUCGUGUGUGUGUGAAUGCAAUACCAUGGCGCGCCCCCCUCUCUCUCUCUCACAC
ensembl:lncRNA